UAGUGGUUGAUAUUGUGAUGCACAUCUCUUCAUCUGCAUCUCCUUUCAUGCAAACUUCAAGCAUCGUGAACUGAAACACCUCGCAGCAAACCUGCAGAUAUUUCAACCCAUAAUGCAGCAUAACUAACGCUGAGAGUGUCCCAACGGUUAUGUAAAACAAGGUGCACAUUGUAAUAAUAUUGUACAACAUCCGAUACGGUCGUCUAACUUCAUCAAUAAAAAAAUACUGAAA